AAUGAACGCUGGCGGCACGCUUAACACAUGCAAGUCGAACGCGAAAGUGGGUAACCAUGAGUAGAGUGGCGAACGGGUGAGUAACACGUGAGAAUCUGCCCUUUUGUGGAGGAUACCCUGAAGAAAUUUGGGUUAAUCCUGCAUAAGCUCGAGAGAGGAAAGGUGGCUUUAUGCUACCGCAAAAGGAUGAGCUUGCGGCCUAUCAGCUAGUUGGUGAGGUAAUGGCUCACCAAGGCGUAGACGGGUAGCCGGUUUGAGAGAAUGAUCGGCCACACUGGGACUGAGAUACGGCCCAGACUCCUACGGGAGGCAGCAGUGGGGAAUAUUGCACAAUGGGCGAAAGCCUGAUGCGGCGAUGCCGCGUGAAGGAUGAAGGUUUUCGGAUCGUAAACUUCUGUUAGGUGGGAAGAAAGUACUUUUGGCGAAUAACCAAGAGGGAUGACGGUACCAUCAGAGAAAGCCCCGGCUAACUUCGUGCCAGCAGCCGCCGUAAC
rnacentral:rRNA from 1 species